rnacentral:lncRNA from 13 species
AGGCCACACCGAGCGAGGAAAUGUCAAAUGAUAAAGAAAAGGAUAAAGAGAAUAAAUCAGCUGCUGCUAAUUCUUGUAAGACAAUAUCUUUCACCGAGAAGAAUGAUAACUGUACUGA